GGAGCCUACGGGAGGCAGCAGUAGGGAAUCUUCCACAAUGGGCGAAAGCCUGAUGGAGCAACGCCGCGUGGGUGAAGAAGGUCUUCGGAUCGUAAAACCCUGUUGCUAGAGAAGAAAGUGCGUGAGAGUAACUGUUCACGUUUCGACGGUAUCUAACCAGAAAGCCACGGCUACCUACGUGCCAGCAGCCGCGGUAAUACGUAGGUUGCAAGCGUUAUCCGGAUUUAUUGGGCGUAAAGGGAACGCAGGUGGUCUUUUAAUUCUGAUGUGAAAGCCUUCUGCUUAACCGCAGUAGUGCAUUGGAA
rnacentral:rRNA from 1 species